UACAGAGGGGGCAAGCGUUGUUCGGAAUUACUGGGCGUAAAGGGCGCGUAGGCGGUCCGCUAAGUCGAACGUGAAAUCCCCAGGCUCAACCUGGGAACUGCGUCCGAUACUGGCAGGCUUGAAUCCGGGAGAGGGAUGUGGAAUUCCAGGUGUAGCGGUGAAAUGCGUAGAUAUCUGGAGGAACACCGGUGGCGAAGGCGGCAUCCUGGACCGGUAUUGACGCUGAGGCGCGAAAGCUAGGGGAGCAAACGGG
rnacentral:rRNA from 1 species